rnacentral:rRNA from 1 species
GAUGAACGCUGACAGAAUGCUUAACACAUGCAAGUCUUUGGCGAAGCUGUGCUUGCACAGCCUAGCCAAGGCGGACGGGUGAGUAACGCGUAAGGAACUUGCCCUGCAGUCAGGGAUAACAGACGGAAACGACUGAUAAGACCUGGUAAAGUCAGGCGGACUCAUGUCCAGCCUGAUGAAAAGAGAUGCUGCAGGAGAGCCUUGCGUCCUAUUAGCUUGUUGGUGGGGUAACGGCCCACCAAGGCGAUGAUAGGUGGCCGGCCUGAGAGGGUGGACGGCCACAAGGGGACUGAGAUACGGCCCUUACUCCUACGGGAGGCAGCAGUGGGGAAUAUUGGACAAUGGGGGCAACCCUGAUCCAGCAAUUCUGUGUGCACGAUGAAGGUUUUCGGAUUGUAAAGUGCUUUCAGCAGGGAAGAAAAAAUGACGGUACCUGCAGAAGAAGCGACGGCUAAAUACGUG